AUACGUAGGGCGCGAGCGUUGUCCGGAAUUACUGGGUGUAAAGGGAGCGUAGGCGGGAGUGCAAGUCCGAUGUGAAAUACAUGGGCUCAACCCAUGGGCUGCAUUUGAAACUGCAUUUCUUGAGUGAAGUAGAGGUAAACGGAAUUCCUGGUGAAGCGGUGGAAUGCGCAGAGAUCAGGAGGAAUACCAAAGGCGAAGGCAGUCUUCCAAGCCGUUAUUGACGCUCAACUGCGAAGGUGUGGGUAUCAAACAGGAUUAGAUACCCUGGUAGUCCACACAGUAAACGAUGAUCACUAGGUGUCGGUUUCGUAAUAGGAUUCGGUGCCGUAGCUAACGCGUUAAGUGAUUCGCCUGGGGAGUACGAUCGCAAGGUUGAAACUCAAAUGAAUUGGCGGGG
rnacentral:rRNA from 1 species